UGCUCCCAUAACUGCCGAGGCUGUCGUCCCAGGACCUCCUCCGAUCCACACCCACUAAAAGUAGGCAAGUGCCAGUGAGAGAGAUGCGAGAAACCGUGGCACUAGCACUGGACUUGGCUCGCUUCAGAAGUUUUGUAGAGGCUCAACGCGGAUCUCAGAAACAGCACGGAUCUCGUGUGAGAACCUUCUCUCAGCAGAGACGCUGCAAAAAACCACAAUGCUGAAAGUAUUUGAGAAUUUGACCAGUAGCAGAUUGUGUGACGUGACGGGCUGGCUGGAUACGACAUAAUCACGUGCUCGAGACAUGGUAACAUAACUCACGAUAUUUUUAAAUUCCAUUCAAAGGGGGUAAGGCCUCACUAUACCCCAAAUAUCCUUAACUUUCUUGCAUAAUUCGUAAUUAAAUUUCCACAGAUUUUUUUGGGUGACGAAAGGAAAAAAAAAAGCUUUCCAUCAAUUCUAUAUUUAUAGAGCAUCCUUAUACACUUAUUCGCCACUUGUCGUGUCCCAUGGCCUCUACCUAAGUGUAAUGAAGACUUUCAGGUGCUAUUUAUUAUUCAAGUGUCCCGCACCGCACCGCACGAGCGUGUCUUUUCUUAUAUGACGUAUUCUUGUCAAUUUGAAGUAUUUUAACUUUGACGGUACACAUUUUUUUUUUUUUCGUUUUAUCUUGCUAUAACAUACAGCAUGAGAUUGACUAUAAGUGUUGGGCUGCUAGCGAUCGUCUGAUGGGAAGCCAUUUCUGGUUCAUUUUCGCCGUUACGUUGGCGGUCUACCGGGUCCACACCGUUUGUAAGAGGGAUGGUAACCAGAAUACGAAUUUAGGCUUCAUUCAAUAAUCAUUUUCGUCUUCUCUCUCCCGACACACACACGUCAAUGUUUCUUAUAGAUAUUCUAGUUCUUCUGGAUUACGGCGAUCCUUGAACCGAUUGUCGCGCUGUCGACUGUCUGCUCAAAGUUCCUAGACAACAUUCGACGGCACGAAGAAUAACAAGGAUGUGCUCCACCCAAAAAAACCAAAAAGUGGUUUGGGGUGGGGAGAGAAAGAUUUAAAUUUCAUCCAUGUAAGCUUUAAUGAAAAGUGUCGACGUUGCUGCACACUAGUAAUCUGAAGCUGGAUGUUUCUACCGAUAAAUCUGACUCGGGCUAUCGCUGCGACCUUGGUGACCCUUCACCCCCCCGCUUUCCCCUCGUCGCUCCUGCUGCUGAUGCUCAGUCCAUAGCACUAGUUCGACAGAACUUGGAUUCAGUCGCUGCUGUAGUCACUGAUAAGUGUAUACAUUCAAAUUUCUUGCGGGGGGUGCAACAGUGCGGGUCACGGACGCGAGGUUUAUCGUUAUUUCUUUCGGCCUCCGCCGAUUGGGUGGCAUAUCCGUUCACCAUGGAAGACUUGCAACUUCUUCGCUUGGCAGCCCAGUCAUCAAAAGUCAUUCUCUUGGCUGCCAUCUUCGACUCGACAUCAACGAUUUGGCUUUUCUUAUCACUUUGAGCAAAUACGGAGCUAUCGGAGCAUCGGGGCAAAUUCUUUUCAAUAGAGUUCUUCUCUCUAAGGUAUAUAUACCGAGCUUUAAGUUAAAUAUAUGUAUGUAUAGAUAUAUAUUUUUUUUAAAUUACCUUUUCGCAUGGAAAAACGUUUGAACUGACUGGGUUUUAUUAUUUUUAUUCGCCGCAUUCCCUAUCGACUGGUCCAAAAGUGUUUUGGAUCCGGUCCUUAGAUUACUGGUGACGCCCUUUUGUAAAAAUAUUUUAAAAUGUUUAAAAAUUGAUUUGAUUCUACACUAGUCGAGUGAAUUUAUUGACAGGAUAUGCUUUUAUGGCAUCAAAUUGAAUCGCUGCAACCAGCAGUGCAGCACCCAACAUAUGUACAGUUUGGCCCCUUCAUCGAAUGGCGGCUAACGGAGUAUCGGUUUCCAUCUUACCGGGCAGCAUUAGAUUGGCUUUUUAAACAAGCAUUGUGAUUUCUAAUACUGUCAGGUAAAGAUGUCCUCCGUGCUUGUGAAUCAUCUCGCCAUAAAGUUGUAAUUCAUUAUACGCACUAAUCAAUUUCAUUCAAUGUGUGUAACCAUGUUCUUCCUCAGUUUGAAAAAAAUGCAGACCCUUUUCCGAAUUGUUCUUUAUUUUUUUAAAAUUCAAUGUUCAAUACAAUACACGCAAUCGUCUUAUUUUUUAACGGCUCAUUGAACUAUUACAUCUAUUCAAUUUUUCCAAUACAUUUGCUUACAACAGUC
rnacentral:lncRNA from 1 species